GCAAAAGCACUGUAGUGAUUGGACAAUGAGGAUUCCAUAUCCAGAAUGGUAGAGGGUGUCUGUGACAGUUAGUGUCAGUUGGGGAUGAAACUGUUUCAAGUUGGAAGAUGUGCUUAAUUGUAGCUGCGUAAAGGAGAAAAGUGUUUUUAUUUCAAACAAGAAUAAACCCUUCAUGGUUGUUUAUCUUAGGUGGCAUCUUUUGGAGUCAAUUCCUACGUGAAGAUAAAAAGGAAUGUUGUGCCAAGACAAUACAGCUACCUUCAGAUGCUUGAGGACUCAGGGAACCGAGCCCAACUGAGGAGUGAGUGCUCAGCAAAGUGCAUGUAAUGGCGGUCAAAAAGGAACUGAGCAACAGGCGCUCUGCAGAUAAAGAUACCGAGUGCACACUAUGCACGAAGGAUGGAGCCACAGAGCGCCUUGAGGAGCUGUAGAAUCCUUCUGCGAGGGCUACUGUGCAGGCGCAUGAACCCAAGUUGUGAAGGAACUUGAAUCACCUUAGAGAUCAAUUCUUUCAGAGCCAACAGUCAUUCCAUAGGUUUGGAGCCUUGGGGAACUUGUGGAACACCGAAUGAGACAUUCCCAGAAGUGCGGCAAACCACAGUUGGCGCGGCCACCAUGGAGCCAGAAGUAUGCAUUUCGUUUGGUCCCGCAAUAUCUGCGCAACCACACGACCCAUUAACGGCAGCGGGGGGGAAAGAUAUAACAGCCCCGUCUUCCAGGUACGUUGAAAAAGCAUCCCCCAGGGACACUUGGCCUAUGCCCGCACGCAAACAAUAAUUGACACACUUUUUGUUGGCAUCUGUGGCAAAUAAGUCUAUCGAUGGGACCCCCCAGAUCUCGAACACCCUGUUGAGAUACAUUGGGUUGAUUUCCCACUCGUGUCUCUGGUUGAAACUGAUGUCCCUGCUGAGCCUGUCGGCCAAGCAGUUGUCUACACCCUUUAUGUGUAUUGCCACCGGGUGAAUCGAAUGUCG